GGCUAUUCCUGGGAUAGCUCAGUUGAUAGAUCAUGUGACUCUUAAAAUCAGGGUCAUGGGUUCAAGCCCCACAUUGGGCA